GGCCGCGGGUUGGGAGAGGGCCGAGCAUCCUUGGGAACGCACGCCCUGGACCUGAGAUGGGUGGAUGCUCCGGAGCUAGGCGAAAGCUGGAAGGGACCCGGGAAGGGAUGGAACCCCAGGUUACACCGCUUCCCUCAUUCACGUGCAAGGCGCUGACAGUUGACUCUGGUGGGGCAGAUGUCAGCCUGCAACAAAGGUCCGGAGUGCGAGGGGUCCUAGAGUGGCCAGGCGGGUUGGGGGAGGGAGGCCGGCGGAACGUGCUGUUACGCGCAGGUAGAUGCUCUUGCAGAUCCUGUGAUUCCAGAGCUAAGGAGGCACGACGUCCAGCAGAGGUCUUCUCCACAGCACCUGCCCAAUCUUGCCAUCACCUUCCCUGUUCAGAUGGCAUGUUUUUGGCGGGUAGUGAGAGUUUCUCCUUAGACAAAAUCACUUCAGAUUUGAAUCUGGAAUGUCUGUAAACUUCCUGCAAGAAAGACCCUUGCCCAGUCUGGAACUUGAGCAGAUUAAGCUCUCUCCUCCCCUUCUUGUGCCACCUUGUCCUCCUCUCUUGGCCUCUUCUGCUGCAUCUCUGCCACCUUCUCUUCUCCUUUUCUUCCUUCUUUCCCAGGCAAAAGUGAACCACUCCCCUGAUCCUUCCCCACAGUGUUCCAAUGCAUCUCGCAUUGGCUUCUUCACGUUCAGAUCGGUUUUCCAGAUCACCUCCUGGCUUGACUGCUCCUUGACCCCAUCGGGACUUCCCCAUGCGUAUCCUGCUAUGAAAUACAAAACCUGCUGAAGCAAAAAGGACUGGAGGAGCCAAGAUUCCAGACAGGCAAGAAUGUGGCUGCCAAGCUAAUGUGGAGUGAAACGUGCCCAGGAUAACCAAGUCAAUCUUGGAUUUGAAGAAUAAAUUUCUAGGAUAUACACUACUGGAUGCAAAACUUAUUAUAAAUCUAUAGUAAUUAAGACAAUGUGAUAUUUGCACAAGGAUAGAAAAAAGACAAAGGAGUAAGAUAGAGUUCAGAAAUUAACACACAUGGAUUGUCACUUGACUCAUGCCAGAACUGUCAGUGAACAGCAGUGAAAAAUCCCAACAGCAAGAUGAAGACUGUGUGAGUGAAAUGCCUUUCCUUUGUGAAGUUGGAAAAGGGGGAAAAUUUGAAAGGGGAGUAGGGAAGGAAAUUAUGCUCUUAUAUCACAAAUAUGUUGUUGAGAAAAUAAACUUCACAGAAAAAAACAUAUUUGGAUGUUGAUCAUUUGAAAAGUGACUUCUUUAAACUGAAUGGUACCCUUGGAAAGUCAGUGUGUGCCACCACGAUGAUCUCACGUGGGGACUGCUGGUUUGUAAUGGAGAUUCAGGAACCUUUGUCAGAUCUCAAUCACUAAACUGAUUGUUGAGUAAAUGGAUGUUCUUAUUUUACUCUUUUUAACUUAUG